AUUUAUAGUAAUUUAAUUUAAAUUUGGCUUUCUGCAAUUUCACAUGAAGUUGUCGAAUUGGGACACUAGCAAUCCGCAAAACGUUUUAAGUACCCUACACAUCAAUGUGGAAAAGACAAAGGAGCUGAUCAUCAAUGGCACCAACUUACCAAGUCCCAACCACUCUUCCUGAACGACCAACCAGUGGAGGUGGUUGAGUGUUUUAAAUACCUAGGGAAACUAAUUGAUAACACGAGUUUUUCAGAGAAUGCAGACUAUUUUUUUUUAAGCUAGCCAAUGCCUGUUCUUAAUCAGGAAAUUAAAGGGGUUUGGGGUCAGCAAGGAUGUUCUGGAGAGGGUGUACAGCAGCUUGUUGGAGAGCAUCCUCACUUUCAAUAUGACAGUCUGUUAUGGUAAUCUGACUAUGAGGAGCCAAAGUAAACUGACCAGAAUAGUAAACACAGCCAGCAAAGUAAUUGGUCGACCACAGGCACAUUUGAACAUUCUAUUCCACAAGGCAACCAAAAAGAAGACACUGGCUGUCGUUGGAGACCCUUCCCACCCUCUACACCCUCAGUUGGAGACCCUUCCCACCCUCUACACCCUCAGUUGGAGACCCUUCCCACCCUCUACACCCUCAGUUGGAGACCCUUCCCACCCUCAACACCCUCAGUUGGAGACCCUUCCCACCCUCGACACCCUCAGUUGGAGACCCUUCCCACCCUCGACACCCUCAGUUGGAGACCCUUCCCACCCUCUACACCCUCAGUUGGAGACCCUUACACCCCUGGAGACCCUUCCCACCCUCUACACCCUCAGUUGGAGACCCUUCCCACCCUCUACACCAUCAGGUGGAGACCCUUCCCACCCUCUACACCCUCAGGUGGAGACCCUUCUCACCCUCUACACCCUCAGGUGGAGACCCUUCCCACCCUCUACACCCUCAGGUGGAGACCCUUCUCACCCUCUACACCCUCAGGUGGAGACCCUUCCCACCCUCUACACCCUCAGGUGGAGACCCUUCCCACCCUCUACACCCUCAGGUGGAGACCCUUCCCACCCUCUACACCCUCAGGUGGAGACCCUUCCCACCCUCUACACCCUCAGGUGGAGACCCUUCCCACCCUCUACACCAUCAGGUGGAGACCCCCAGAGUACCCAUGGCCAAGUAGAAUGUGUUCAAACAUUCAUUUGUUCCUCGUUCCGCUGUAGGACUACUAAAUGCUAAGUCAGUUGUGUCUGUAUAUGUACUUAUCUAUCUAGGGCAGUUGGGACAGCGGUCUGUUUUGAGUGAAUGUAUCAAUGUCCUCUAUGUUGUUAGUGUACAACAUGAUGGACUGACUGGUUUAGAUGUGUAUGAUGUGAGAAUGUACAGUACAUGUAUGUGAUUAUUUUAAUGGGUGGUGAUGCCAAAGAGAAAUGUUUAUCCUGGAUGGACAAUAAAGUUUUCUAUUCUAUUAGCUAUCAUAUUUUAAUUCCACUGAUUUCAAAACGUGAUCCUCC
ensembl:lncRNA